rnacentral:rRNA from 1 species
GACGAACCGUACAAACGUUAUUCGGAAUCACUGGGCUUAAAGGGUGCGUAGGCGGCGGCGCAAGUUGGGUGUGAAAUCCCUCGGCUCAACCGAGGAACUGCGCUCAAAACUGCGUCGCUUGAGGGAGAUAGAGGUGAGUGGAACUUAGGGUGGAGCGGUGAAAUGCGUUGAUAUCCUAAGGAACACCAGUGGCGAAAGCGACUCACUGGGUCUCUUCUGACGCUGAGGCACGAAAGCUAGGGUAGCGAAC